CCUACGGGGGGCAGCAGUGAGGAAUAUUGGUCAAUGGACGCAAGUCUGAACCAGCCAAGCCGCGUGCAGGAAGAAGGCUCUAUGAGUUGUAAACUGCUUUUGUACGAGGGUAAAUCCCGAUACGUGUAUCGGGUUGAAAGUAGCGUACGAAUAAGGAUCGGCUAACUCCGUGCCAGCAGCCGCGGUAAUACGGAGGAUUCAAGCGUUAUACGGAUUUAUUGGGUUUAAAGGGUGCGUAGGCGGAUCGAUAAGUUAGAGGUGAAAUCCCGGGGCUCAACUCCGGCCCUGCCUCUGAUACUGUCGGUCUAGAGUUUAGUUGCGGUAGGCUGAAUGUCUGGUGUCGCGGUGACCUGCCU
rnacentral:rRNA from 1 species